ACCCACAGCAUGUGGAGGUUCCCAGGCUAGCGGUCACAUUGGAGUUGUAGCCAUUGGCCUACACCACAGCCACAGCAACGCCAGAUCUGAGCUGCAUCUGUGACUUACACCACAGCUCACAGCAAUGCCAGAUCAUUAUCUGCAUAACCUAACAAUGUUGCAUGUCUUUGAUAAACAGUAAUAAAGAAACUUAUAUUUGUAACUAUGAUUUAUUGUGCUCUUACUCUGUACCAAGUGUCUGUUGAUGAAUUUAUGUGCUAUAUCUCUUCAUAACAGUAUAAGUUGGUUUUUAUUAUAUACACUUUUACAGUUAAAAGGAAUUGAAUCCCACAGAGGUUUAAACAUUUCCCAAGGUCACAAGCUACUGCAAGGCUUCUCUAUCCAGUAUAAUCACCCCCUUUUCCAGCCCAUAUGAAGCAAAGAGGUAUUUGAUGAUGUCUGGAGGCAUUUUUUAAUCAUAAAACUGAGAUGUUCUUCACAUCUAGUAGGCAAAUGCCAGAGGUGCCACUAAACUUCUACAGUAUACAGGAUAGACCCUCUCUCUUUACACACACACACACACACACACACACACACACACACACAAAUAAUUAUUUGGGCCAAAAUGUCAAUAAUGCGGGGGUGGAGAAACCUAAAACUAAUAAGUGACACAGUGAGGAUUCAAAUCUAGAGAAUGUGAUUCCAGUAUGCACGUGCAGUAUUUGCUCUCAAAAUACAUGUGUAAUAUUAAAUAUUUCAUCAAAAUAUUGAUAAUAAUAGUCUAUCAUUUUGCAAAAGUUUGUGCUCACUUAACAGUUUGUUGGAGCUCCCUUUGUAGCUCAACAGUAAUGAACCUGACUUGUAUACAUGAGGAUGUGGGUUUGAUCCCUGGUCUUGCUCUGUGGGUUAAGGAUCUGGUGUUGCCACGAGCUGUGCUAUAGGCUCAGAUCCCAUAUUGCUGUGGCUGUGGCUGUCGCUGGGGCUGUGGCCAGUAGCUAUAGCUACAAUUCAACCCUUAGCCUGGGAACUUCCAUAUGCCAUAGGUGCAGCCCUAAAAAGAAAAAAAAAAAAAAAAGACAGUUUGUUGAGUCUGAGAUAUAGGACUGACUAAUUCUGGGUGAAUAUGGCAAAAUCAUUUGCAUGUGCUACCACAAGUGCUGGAGCCUAAGAGAAUCUUUGUGGUCAAGUCCAUCCUAAUAGGGCAUCAAUACUUAAAUGAGUAUUUUGAAAAUCAAAGUUGGAUCACAUUUUAUUGAGGGAGGUGCUUUGCAGAGACUGAUAGAACUGAAAUUAUACAAGUAAACUUGUGUGUGCUUGAUAUUAAAAUAUUUUCCUCAAGCAUCUCUUAUACAAUGAGAAGGGAUUGGUAUGAUUAUUAAAGUUGGAACCCAAGGUUUGCACCCAGAAAGAUGUCAUCCAGGCUGGCAUAGGCUUUAGUGAAAUAAAAGUUACGAGCUCCAUGCUGCACCCCGGGCAGAGUGAAAGCUGCAGCACCCUAUCCUGGUCCAUUAGUUCCCUGGUAGGUGCCCAGCAAACUCUGAGAGACUGAUGAAGAAAUCAUGGCUUAGUGAAGCCAGAGCAGACUAAGAACAGAACAAUAUUUUACUGUGGUGCCAAUAUGCAACCUUUAGACUAGAGCUAACGUCUAUAGCUGCACAGUUUUUCACUGGUGAAGCCAAGAAGGCUACAAGACCAUUAUUACACUCUCGUAAUUUUCAUGCUAAUUUGAAAAAUAGCCAACAAGUCUGUUAAGAAUAAUGAACUAUUUGUUUAUUCAUUAAACAUUAAUAAAACACCUACUAUGUGCAAGAGUACUGUGCUAGAUAUAAAAGGAAAACAUAGAUUAGUCCUUUCCUCAAAAAAAUUAUAACAUAUUGCAAGAAGCAGGCAGAUGGUAUGGGAGAAGAGAAAAGAAAGAAAGGGAAUUGAAAACAAAAUGAACUCAGCUAUAAACAAGUUCUAACUUUUCUUUGUUGGAUUACCUUAGGAAAGUUACUAAAUAUUUUGGAGCUUGGUUUCCUCCUCGGUGAAACAGGCACAAUCAUAUUGACUUUCUAAAAGAACAGAAAGUGUUUUUUUUUAAGUGCUAUAAUUGAGAAGUAAAAUGAUGAGUAUUCAUAUUCUCUCAAGUUCAGAUAUACCCCAAAGAGAUACCCCGGGUCUGUGUCAGCCCCAAAGAAGCUGAUGCUAGGAAACUCCACCCAUUCUCCCAGCCAGGGAUGCUCCAACCCAGAAGAACCAAGGGAAUCUGGACCUCAAAACUGGGGACUAAUAGAAAGAGAUUUGAUCCAGCCACCAGGUUAUCAAAAGGUAACAUGGACAGGUGCAAAGUAAAAGGAAAUAGAGUGCCCAGUGCGUUCCUUAGGUGACAGUCUUUGAAAACAUGUCUUGGCUGAUGGAAUAUGGACAGUGAACACGAUCUUCAUGUGUUUUCAUCUUUAGACUUAUCUGUGUAUCAUUAUCACUCCUGGGGCUUGUCUAUAAAAGCAGAUGCCAAGCCCCCACCCCCACAUCAAUGAAUCAGAAUCUCUGAAGGCUGAGCCGAUAACGAUGAUAUUGGAAAAGCAUUUCAGAUGAUGCUGAAGUAAAGCCUGGUGUAGAAAUCUUGGUUGUAGGGCCAUGGGAUUAGGGUGAGGGAUGAGAAUAAAACCUUUCACUUCU
rnacentral:lncRNA from 1 species